ensembl:lncRNA
GGGGGGGGGCUGAGAAGCGGGAGGGGGGUAGGCUUAUUUGUGGUGAUCCAUAGGCAGGCAAAGUGAAAAUUUACGGACUGUACAGCCCCAGACAGUGGGGGAAAAUAGAAGCUGUGUAACCCCAGAGACCAGAAGGUGGACUACAGAUAAAUCUGCGAAGAGAAGUAAAAAGAUGUGUUGAAGACAGCGAGAUAAAGAGAGAACUAGUGAGCGAAGCUGUAGUCAUCCUGAUAGAUAGAGCAGCAAGAGUGAUUUAGUCUGCUCGGGAGGAUCCAAUGAGAAUUCAAGAGGGCACCGCUUCGGAAAUCCUGCUCAGAUCUUCCCUCUCUCAGUUCUUUAAGAGUUACCUGCGCUGGGAACAUUAUUAUUAGGGUUAACAGUAUUCCAUCAGUGCAUUCCACUAGGAUCUCCCUUUCUUUCCCUCGCAGCAACGGAGGGAGGCGUAGUACGGAAGCCCAACUCCACCGAGCCCCCCAGAUAAACCCCUGUGUUCACUUUAGGAUGGCCGGAUCCUCGAGGAUUGGCCUGGGGGGCUGAAGAUGCGGAGGAGGCCGGGUCUCCCGGGCGCUUUCGGGGGCGCAGGGCCGGGAGGCGUAGGCAGGGGGCUGGGGAACCGCUGCUGGAAGCGGCGGCGGCGGCGGCAGGAGCCCUCCCAGGUCCUGCUUCCUCGGCGAAUCCUGCUUCCCCGGGACUCCAGGCAAUGGGCUUCCAUCGGGAACCUCAGCUCCAAGUGCCUCACUUUAGCAGCUAGAGCUUUGGAGGUUCUGAGGAUCGUCCCUGUCCCUGGGGGCAGAGGGUGGCAGGCUGCGAGUCUCCCGCGCCCCCUCUGAUUCCUGCACUGGUAACGGAGGGAGAGUGAGUCAGAAAUGGUUUUGCUGCCGAAUGCAUUAUCUGGCCAUGUUCACAGCCCUGUACCGCACAAGCGAUCGCCUGAUCGAUCCGAAAUAAGAGGGAAAGGUAGAGUGGAAAUUGAUUUAUUGCAGAGACUGAGGCGCCAAAUGAAAGAGGGAAUAAACAUUUGCCCUGGAUAAAAAUGUUCUUGGUCCAGAGUAGGCUUUUGCAUGUCAUGGUGAUACCUGUGAAUUCAUCCAGUCCUGGCUUUCCUGAGUCUACAGCGUCCCCAGCCUGCACAGACUCCUGCCUGGAGAAUGGGCUGUAUUCCAUAACUAAUGAUGCCCUAGAGCAGAAGGUUUCCUUCAGUCAUCUCAUUUAACCAAAAGGAUGAUUUCUGUGCAUGUCCCUGUGUUUUAGACACAUGUAGCAAGGGAGAUUGGAGGUCCACCCAAGGAGGAUGACUUAUUACAAACACAAACCUAGCAGCUGUGGUUUGAAAGAACAUACUUUUUAUAUAAAAAUUACAAUAUGCUGUUCAAACCUAUUUAAGCUGUUAUUCAAGGAAAUAGAAUUAUUUAUUGAGAACCCAACUUAAAUUAGAAAAGUAACAUUGACAUUUUUAGCACAUAUGUGAAAUAAAUGUGAGAUUGAUAUUCUUUUAAAUAUUUAGAGAAAAAAAUAGGACAAGAUGAAAAAAUACUGUGACCCAUGGCUCCUUAACUUUAAAAGAGUUUACAGCACUUAGACAUCAAUAAAUAAUAUGAGUAUUUUAACAUUAUAUUAGAUCAUGUGAUUAUAUUUGAUCAACCCGCAGAUAGAGCUGUCUCCUAACUGGUUUCUACCUAAGAGCAAGAAAGUUUGAGCUUAGACCUUACUCAGAAGUUAUGCAUUUUAUUUUUAUGUUGAACUUGUCUUUUCCUGGGUAAUCUUCACGUACAUCUGCAGUUGGUAUUUUAGCCAAUUUUUGUUAUUGGUAAUGUUCUUGUCUGUUAUUCUGGCUCCAUCUUUUUUAAGAAUAUGGGUAUCACCUAAUAUAUUUCUUACCUAUUAAUCCGCUAAAAUUUCUAACACAAAGCAACAUUCAAGACAUGUUGAAUUAAAGAAAUUAUGAAGCAAGUUGCUUGUGAAGAAAAGUGUCAAUAUACUUCAGAUUAUUUUAACCUGAAAUAAAUGUGUAACAAAAAUGGGUUAUAAUGAGAUAAGUACAGUCAAACUGUUCCUUGUAUACAUAUGUAACACUCACAUUUAUACAUAUAUAGUUGCCCUCAUUACAAUGCUUAAAUUUAUUCAUUUGAGUCUUAUGCUUAUUUUGAUUUCAGAGUUUUCUCUUUGAAAGUGUCUAAAACUUCUUCAAUAACUAAGUGUGAAAGUAUCUUCAUGUCUUAUCUCAUGAGACUAUAAUGGAGCAGGACCCUAGGAGGCUUUCCUAGAACAGACCCACACACAUGUCCUCCACCUGCCUUUGUAGAAAAACUUUAGUCGAGGAAUAAAGUUCAUCAGAGAAGUAAGAAGAUGCAGAGAGAAAGAGAAACAGUCAAGCAUGACAAACUAAUACUUUAUCCAUUAAACAAAGUCAAGGACCUUAGUUCCUCCUCAAAGGCUAUAGAUAAUAUUCUGAACUAUAUCCUUUGAGCUGUUUUACAAAUACUGAAACCCCCACCAGGUGGAAGUAGUUACUGUUGUCUGCCCAGAGACAGGGAGACCUCCAGGCAGGUUGGAACCAGAAGGCUGAUGAUAUUGACUCCCAAUCACCUCAUUAUCAAGCUGAUCGUGCCCUGCUCCUUGAAUACUUAAAUAAGACUCCUCACUACUACCCACCUCCGUGGUAGGACACAUGGUCUCAAGGGCAUUAGCCCUCUGUGGCCCUCUGUGCUUGUCAAAGAAAUAAAGCUAUUUCUAUUUCACCCAAAACUCUGUCUGAUUUACUCCAGCACCAUGGUGCAAAGGCCAAAUUUCAGAAACAAGGUCAAUAUGCUGCUAAAUGAACUGACCAGUACAUUCACAUCUCAGAAAAAGUGUACUGGAACUUGAAGGAGUAUUAAAGGUAGCUUAGUCAUUUUCAUUAUGAUGAAAAAUUUGAGCACCAGAGAAACUGAGUCAUUAGUGUAAUCAUACACUAGCUACUAACCCAGGGAAUUUUAAAUAUAGUUUUAGUAACUUCUUAGCUAGUAUUAUUCUGAAUCAAUUCGAUUGACAUUGACAUUGAAGUCUUUCAGUCGUGUCUGACUGUUUGUGACCCCAUGGACUGUAGCCUACCAGGCUCCUCCGUCCAUGGAAUUUUUCAGGCAAGUGUACUGGAGUGGAUUGCCAUUUCCUUCUCCCGGAGCUCUUCCGGACCCAGGGAUCGAACCCAGUCUCCCUCAUUGUAGGCAGGCGCUUGCUAAACAAGUAGUGUUUUUGAAAUUGGGCUAAACAAUAAAUGAAAGAGAGAAAAAGCAGUGUAAAGAUGAAUAUAUUGCAGUCUUCUCCAAGCUUAUUUUGUUGCUAACACUCUUUAUUGUAGAUUUUUUUUCUUUUUCUGCUGUGUUUUAUCCUCCCCUUUUCCUUCCAUCCCUGUCCUCAAAGAUUGGGGAAUAUUUCAUGACAUAAUUUUACUUUCUAAGGAAAGAUUCUCAGUGUUCUGUCUGUAUGUGCAUUGCGUUGUUCACUAGGCUAUGUUCCACUACACAAUACAACCUUAAAAUGUAGAUAAUUUCAGUCACCUGCAACAUCAUUUUCCAUCAUGUCACUUCUAUUUUCCUCAUUUUAAAUUUCCUGCCAAUAUAAACAGUGGGAUUGUAUGAAAAGAAAAGCCAGGAUCUCAAAAUAAGCUAUUUAAUAAGACCCUGAAUUACCUCAGAGAUAAAUUAAAAAAAAAAAAAAAACCUCACACACACAGACACUGUGAAAUAAAUGCACAAGUUAAGACAGUGCAUUGUGAUGAAGACAUUAGGUGAAAAAAAAAAAUGUUCUGGUCAAAAAGUUCUAUACUUAUUAGGAGAAAAGCUGUAAGACUAUAGCCAUUUAGAGGGUGUUCAAUUUUCUGCAGUGGCUGAAGUCAUAUCAAUCUUCUACAUUCUUUUAUAUAUGUCAAUAUUUGAGUAUUACACAUAAGCCAUAAGUUUUGGUAAUGACAAACAUAAAAGACAAGCAUUAACAUGAAAAUCCAUGGGAGUUAUUAUUACUUCAGAAGAGAUAUCAUUCCUGGAUUAAACAAGACAGUAAUAGAACCAAAUUUAAACAUGUAUGGAUGUGAGAGACUGUGAAGAAGGCUGAGCGCUGAAGAAUUGACGCUUUUGAACUGUGGUGUUGGAGAAGACUCCUGAGAGUCCCUUGGAUUUCUUUGGAAGGAAUGAUGUGCUCUCAAGUAUAGUGUUAAAAUUUUACACUAACUUCAGUUCAGUUCAGUUCAGUUCAGUCACUCAGUCGCGUCCUACUCUUUGCGACUCCAUGAAUCGCAGCACGCCAGGCCUCCCUGUCCACCAACUCCCAGAGUUCACUCAGAUUCACGUCCAUCCAGUCAGUGAUGCCAUCCAGCCAUCUCAUUUGCUGUCGUCCCCUUUUCCUCCUGCCCCUAAUCCCUCCCAGCAUCAAAGUCUUUUCCAAUGAGUCAACUCUUCACACGAGGUGGCCAGAG